UUAGCAGCUGUUUCAGCAGUCAGAGCUACUCCAGGUCAACAGCACUACAAGGAGCCCAGGAAGUGCUUUGGUCAUGUAAGGCAAGAGGAAGCCAUGUGUCUGAGCGCACAGCAUGCUGGACCGCCUUGCAGAAGAGGUGGGCUUUAUUCUGCUGGCUGACUUUGAGCAUCUUCCCCUUGGUUGAAGUGAAGGGGAAUACUGACCUCCUGUGUAAACUGCUUCGAGAUCCAUUGAUGAAAAGUGCUGCAUAAAAAAUAUUAAACUUUACAUAUGACGAGUACAGGGACAACUUGGCAUGUAAGUGUGAACCAGCUGCAGUCAGCUGUUUCACCAUGCAAUCUGUGCAGGUACUUCCAGACCACAGCCAAGUCCUGAUGAAGAAUAGGGGACUCCAUCGGGGAGUGCACAAGGCCUAUGGUUUUUGCUGGCGUGGAACCCUUUGCAUAACUGUGGACCACAUCUUUUAACCUCUCCUUAUCAUUUGGAUUAGCAGAAGAAGGCCUCAUUUCUGUUUGCGAACAAGCUGCUUCUACCAAAUCAAUAAUAAGUCUUUGUGUCAAUCCAGGAUAACAAGGUAAUAAAUAUAUUAGACAUACAGAUGUUAAAUCAGAAAAAUAUGGAUUACAGAGAUGGAUUCGCUGACCAUGGUGUGGAGUUGGGGACUAACAGGUGCCAUUCAGAACAGCACUAUAAUCCGCUUUGUUUUGCAGCUAACUAUUAUAAUGUUUUUUUCACUGCUGUGAUUUUGAGACAAUUUCUUUUAUUGGACCCACUAUAUAGUUGGGAGAGAUGUUAGACAAGCGCUCAGGUACAAAGUGUCCUUCCUGAAGACCUCAGUAGGUAUAACUGUGUGCAUAACUUGUGUGUUUCAGUUUUAUGAAUUUAAACUGCAGUCCCUUAAAACCUGCAGUCUUCAUGUAUAUAAUAUAGCGGGUUUUGUGUUCCAAGUUUCUUAUAAUAAUAUGCGGUCCUAUAGGACCAGUUGUGAGGGGAAGGGAGCAUGUUUACUGCCAUUAAAUUUUCAUUUGAAAGAAAGUUUUAUAAAAAGAGAAACAGCAAACAAAAAGGGAAAUGUUAAAUGGCCAGGGCAGGAAUGGGGACACAUAGCUAGGGAAGAAAUGCUAAGGGAGGUGAGGAGAACAUAUGGAAACCACGUGUUCAGCACACCUGUCAGUCUGGCCCUCUGGCACUUUCUUCUGAGCUAGAAAAAACAUUACAAGGCAGUGUCAGGAGCUUGAAAGGAGGGGAAGAAGGGGUGGACCUUAGG